rnacentral:rRNA from 1 species
AUGAAUUAUGCUUAUGGAGAUGAACUUGCUAUAGUUCUUUAUGUUAAACAUGAAAUUGUUGCUAUUGCACCAACGCAUGAUAGUCCUAUUAUCUUUUUGAAUUCUCCCGAUUAUACUAUAUCGGAGAAGUUUACACUCAUUAAGGAUUAUAUUAAUGGGUUGCCUUUUACCGUUGCACAUGAUGAUUUUGAUAGAUAUAAUAUGCAUGUGUUUGCUGCUCCUACUUGCAAUUAUUAUGAGAGAGGAACUAUAUCUCCACCUCUCUAUGUUUCCAACAUGAUAAAAUUGCAAGAAACUAUUUAUACUAUGCAUUGA